rnacentral:snRNA from 1 species
CUGCUUCAGCAGCACAUAUACUAAAAUUGAAAGGAUACAAAGGUUAGUAUGGCCCCUGUCCAGGGAUGACAUGCAAAUUCAUUAAGUAUGCCAUGUUUUU